AACUUAUUAGCAUUAAUUAUAGGCUCAGCAGAUAUCUCUUUCCCCAACAGGCUAAAAUCAUUAUCCUUUUUCCAAAGCCUUCAACGUAGAUCUCGACGAUUUCUUUCCUUGAUUAAUCUUUCCCAGAGUUUUUGGCUUCCUUGAUUGACGCUUAGACUUACGGUCCACCAGCAUCCAGGGCCCAAAGGCUCUGGUUUCGCCACCGUAACGGUAACAACACUUUCCUUCUCCGACGUCGUGUUUUUCCUUACCCGUAGCUUUCCUUGAAGUGACUGUAACGGUCACAAGAGAAACAAACGACUAGCAGAGAUUCAUAUUCAAUACGUUGAAUAUUUCCAUUAAUCAAAACCUUAGAGAUCAAGGGCUUUUACAGCUUAGCAUACACUACCAUACGGGCAUAUCGGCCUCUCGCUUUAUUAUUCGUGUUGAUUUGGCGGUGAAGCUUUCGUCCCUUAAACUGGCCAAGGACAUUCUCUCCUCUCUCGAUUCUUCUUCCGUCGCUGGACUCUUCCCCAACCUUUCCGACCUCCGGCGUUCUCCUCAUAGCCUCGUUAAGAGAUUUCUUGUCGAGUUAACUACAUCAAUGCAAUGCAACUUCUACUCUUGCUGGUGACCUAGUUGAGAUCGAUGCUAUUAAAAAGGUAUUCAAGAAUACAUCAGACAUCAAAAUCAAUGCAUCAAAUGGAAUUGUCUGGGCGCAUCGAGUGGUUUAGAAGCCAUUGCCACAAGAUGGUUGCAUCCCUCGAUAAAUCAAUUUAAUCCAGAGCCUUUAGUUGAGUUUGACACUGUGGCCAACCAAAAGAAACAACACGAAGUUAAUGUUGAUGAUGAAGCAAAGGCACAAAGUGGAGAGAGAAGCAAACAUUAACCCAAAAUUGGAUGGUCGAAGAAUCAGGAAACUGAAAAGACUAAUCCAAAGCUUGCAGCCAUGAACAAGAAAUUUGGAAUGAUUCAUGGGUUAUCUUCACUUGCAAGAAUUUUCAGACUCAUUUGUUUACUUCUGUACAUUGGGUUGAAUGUUAGUUGUAUACAUUUCGACUAAAUGUUAAUGUAUUUUGAUUGUUGGAUCGAUUUUUGUAGUGAAUAUUCAAUCUUUAUUUUAAUUUUAUAUUUUUUAGUUGGAUUUAAAGCAUAA